UCUGGUAAUCUUAAUAGAACUUAUGUUUCGGCCAUAAGGUUGUAAUAUGUUUUUUAUUACUAUCA
rnacentral:tRNA from 1 species